rnacentral:ncRNA from 1 species
GCCACAAGGGGUGCUGAGAACGCUCGGCUGAGAUUAUACCCGGAAAACCUGAUGCAGGUAAUGCUGACGAAGGGAAAAC